GGUGGGAGCUCAUAGCCAAAAGAAAAACAACUAGCACUCGAUUCAACACCUAAUCUAACAUGAGCACACUCUCUUAUUACACUCUAGCUUCUCUAGGCCUAUCUCAACUCCUUUUGCCCUUAUACUCAUCAUCAAGCAUCAACACAUUCAAAUCAACCAACUCUCACAUUCAUUAAGCAUAAAACAUCAAGUGAAUUCUUGCAAAUGGUCAAUUGGUCCAAAUCAUUUGGUUGAGUAAGGGAAGACUUUUAUUCAAGUGGGUCACGAGGUUCAAAAUCCAUGAUCUUGUAAAGUGGUUUACUCUCAAAACGAGUAGCCUUGACAUUGCACAUAAUAUAUCUAAGAAAGGGACCAACUUAUGCAUACAAUGCUCAAUCUCCAUUGUUCUACCCUUUUCCCAAACAUACAAGUUACACAAUCACUUCAUAAUGUCAAACCCAACUCUCAUCUCUCACCAAAAAAUCCCAAGAACACUUUGCACAUAAAACUCUUUUUCUUUGAAAUCUAUAAAGGAUUUUCUUAACUUCUAAACAAAUCUUAGCUCUAAACAACUUUGCUAGCCCCAUUUUCUCUCUUUUUUUUUUUAUUCUUUUUUUUGUUUGGGGGCCAAGACUUUUUACAAAUCAAGCUAGAAAUUUCUCUACUUAUCCCAUAAAGACUAGUCAAUUAAACACAAGAGUUCAC
rnacentral:lncRNA from 1 species